AAUUACAUGAUCAUUUUACCCAAUUGCACAAGUACUCAUACAUUUAUGUUUUGACUUCUUAAUAUCAAUCCUCCUUGGGAUAGACAUUAGUUUGUAGCAUAUUUUUGCAAAGAAAUCCAAUUUUACAGGACAUUAUUAAUAACAUAUUGUGGGCAUUUGGCUUAUUUGUGGCCUUCAAUUAAGUCCCACUGAAAUAGAUUGUUGUUUGGUGCCUUCAGAUGACUUUAUUUUCCGUAAGGAAUCUCAAACUGGGUGGGAUACUGAAGAAGUUAUAAAUUCCCAGGAACAUUUCUGUAACUUGUCAUAUUCGGAGCAGAAAAAGAGGAACAAAAUAUUCGUUGAUAAUUUUCAAAAGAGAAAUUUUUAAUAUGCAGAAAUUACAUGAUAGUUUAUAAAGUUUACAUUUUUAUUAUUUUUUCUACUAAACUUUUCCUUUACAGAGGCUAGAAGGGAUGAACCCAUUGGAUGAGACUUAGUGGACUGGAUGGUAUCAAUGUACUCAGCCUAAUAAAAAUCCUUGAUACAUAACCAGUCCAUGAUCUGCUGGUUCUGUAUCAGCAGCAAUUUGGUCCUUGAACCACAACUUUCAUUUAGAAUUAUAUGGAAGAUGUAGUUGUUUCUUUUUCAUCCGAGUCUUAAAAUGGUUAUUCUUUUAUGCAUAUCUUCCUUGAUUGGAGUUAUAUGCUUUUUCCUAUUCAAAGAAAACAAUUCUUUCAUGGAUUAUGUGUCAUAUUUCUUACCAAUGUGGAAUUCCUUUUUCUCGAUGGUUGUAGGUUUGUGAUUGCAUCUACAUAAAUGUUAGACUCUUGUUGGUAAAAAAGAAACCUUCUUUUGAUAGAUCUUUGGUGUGAAUUGUGGAAAGAUGAAGGAACAAGGGUCUCGAGAAGUUCUAAGAUUGUUGGGAACAUCAAGAUGAUGUUAAUGCAAAUACUAGUUGAUAUUAGGGUGGGCAACUGUUUGUCGAAGGAUCCUUUAUGACUAUUCAACAGAUACUGCACCACUCAAAGCAAUUUCAGAUUAUGGGAACAGAACUAAAGAUCUUCUGCUCAUUCAGAUCACCACACCAUGCAUGUUGAGUCUGUUCAAGCUUGUCCUCUCCAAAUUGUUUCAUGCAUGAGGGCAAAUCUUUAUGACAGGCUCUUAUCCCUAUAGUGGUGUCAUGUGUAUCUUGCUCCUUUUGUGAUCGAUCAGAAGUCAAGCAACUGUCUACUGAACAAUCAGCAAAGUGGGCUGGAGUUAGUUGUGACAUAUGCAGGACAGGAAUUUCUUCCACACCUAGAAAUGAGUUGCCAAAGCAUUCACCUGAGACUUUAGUGACCAGCUCCGAGAGUUGGACUUUGGCAACUUCCAGCCCUACAGAACCUAAGCUCUGCUUCUCAAGUCUCUCUUGGGCCUUCUCCAGCACCAACUGCAAAUACCUUCCCUGUGCCUCUAUUCGUACUUCUUUUAUUUGCAGGGGAGCUGUCAAAGAAGCAUCUGGCCAUCCAAACAAGUUCUUUAAUGUUUUGGGUUCUCAAUGGUGUGUACCAUUUCAGACCGUUCACAGAGAGGAAUGGUGAGGUCCCGAGUAGACUUCAGGUCACAGAAUGCUGUUCCAGAUUUAAAUAAAAGAUCAUGAAUGAAUGAUUCUUUGGCAGUCAGUCAUGCAGCUAAGUGGUCAUCACAAACUCCACCCGGUUUGCGUACCUUACAUGAGCCGUCAGCGGGUCCACUUUUCCCCGAAUGACAAGACGAGCAGGUAGUCGAGUGGUACCCAAACGGGCCGUUGUUAUUGCAACCUCUUCCGCCUCGCAACCCGCGGGUUCGCUCGGUGGGAUGGGAUCUUUUUCGCGAAUGCCGGAGAAGGAAGGCGUCGGGGAGGCGGCGGAAGACGAAGAUCGUGUACGACUUGGGCCCUGCGUCGAGGUCGAUUAGGGUGAACGUUGCCCAGGAUCAACUUUUAUUCCGCCGUUCCCGCUCCAUUCACCGGGAAAGACCCUAGACAAUCUCCGCAGAGCCCUGGAGAAUACCGGCUUUCUCUGCGCCGCCAUUCUCGACGCAAAGGGUCCAGGUUCCAAAUGGAUUUUCCAAAGGUGGCAAAUGUAUCCAUUUGAAGAAGUGUCAACAAAUCACCGUCGCUAUUGGUUACCGCAUUAAGGGUGACGAUACCAUGAUAGCCAUGAGCUACAGAAAGUUGGCUGAGGAUUUGGAGCCAGACUGUCACAUUAUAUGCUAUUGAGGCUAUUGCACUUGUGGUUCUUUCUGUGAGUAGUUAGGGCUGGUCAGUUGCUCCGUUAGAAUUCUGCAAUUCUUGGAGAGAGAGAAAACAUAAAUAUUCCAGGUGUUGUGAUCUUUUUGCACCAAUAGAGAAGGAAAAGGAGAAUAUCCUAUAAAAGGGACAUCCCAAACAAAAUUGGCAUGAUUGCCUUCUCCCUUAUAACCAGAGGUUCCAACUUUCUGAAGUUUGGAAAGGCUGGGAAUCAAGAAGGGGUAGCCAAUUUUGAUGCUACUCUUGUGAAUUUUUAUGGUUGCACGGAGAGAUUUGAGAAUAGAAAUUCCUUUUGAAAAGAUAUAAUAUGCUUGAAAUUUGAUGUCCCCCUUCAAGCAGAAGCAACUGUUGUAGCUAAUGCUGUUCUUGAUUGCAGUGACUGAGACGUGCUCAGUGGUGAAACAGCUGGAGGUGCUUACCUGAAACUAGCAAUUCAGAUUGCUCGGAAGAAGUCUCUUUUAUGGAUCAUGGAUCUGUUUUAAAGGAAUCAUGGCAGAACACCUGUUCAUAUGAGUCCUGUUGAGAGCCUUGCAUCAUAGUUUGUCUGAAAUGCUAAUCCUACUAAGGCAUCUCUCGUCUUGGUCCUGACCAGUAGAGGAAGUUUUCUAAACUAGCAAAAUACAGGCCAGCAAUGCCAAUACUAUCUGUAGUGGUUCCUUGGUUGAUAGAUUUUUUUUCCGACUGGUACCAGUAUUGAUCUCUGCAAUUUCCAAGGCCUCAGACACUGAAUUUGUUAUACAGCAUGCAAAGGCCAAAUCCAGAUAAAAAAUUGUGACACUGCAUUGAAUUGGAGUUGCAUCUAUGAAUCAGAUUUUGACAAUCAAAUGAUUCAUUGAUGAUAGCUGAAAAAUCUCCUGUGCACAAUUUUGUUCAGUAGUAUUUAAGUUUUCUAUCAGGACACAAUUUUGUUAACUAGUAUUUGUCCCUAUUUUGAGUU